CUGGAGGUUUCCCGUGUCCUCCAGCCAGCGACUCUGGAGGUUUCCCGUGUCCUCCAGCCAGCGACUCCGGAGGUUUCCAGUGUCCUCCAGCCACAUCUCCGGAGGUUUCCAGUGUCCUCCAGCCGGCGACCCCGGAGGCUUCUCGCGCUCUCCAGCCGGCGACCCCGGCUUCCUGUGUCCUGCAGUCGGCGCCCCGGAGCCAGAUUCCUGACCGCCCUUCGGGCUGAUCCCUGGAGACUCCCCGGCCGUCUCUGGGUUCCCUCCCUCCCGCCCCUGGUCUGCACUCUGCCGGUUUAGGGCCGUCUAGAAUUCGGCGCUUGGGGGGGGAGGUGCUGUCACGGUUUGGUCUGCGUUUGAGUCCUGCCUUCCCCACACCCUGACAGGAAAGUGGAAGUUUGGACGGGAGGAGCUGCGUAUAGUGCGCCUAAGUAUGUAUUCCAAGGUAUGUACAGACAAAAUCAUGACGCGUUUGUAAUAUUGCUGCCUCACUGUUACGAUCACUGGCGGUCUAGGGACAGCCGUAACACUAAAAUUUGUCGAUGUAUCACGGGGGAGAGGUAAAUGAAAGGAGACAAGGCAGGCACGUUGUAAAAGAAAAAAAAACUGGGGUUUUAUUGUUCUCCCCGGACCCAGUCGAAAAGAGGGGGAUAAGCACCCCUACCUGAAUACAUUGGGGAAAGAACGUAGGCGGCGCCAACUGAGAGAACCAAGUAUAACCAAAACACCCCUACCUCGACCUACCCCUAUCCAAAGAAAAAGGUCGAAAGAAAAACGGAGUCUUCGCGCACUCGGCGCCUACACCUCCUAUCUAAUAACAAAAAUACAGGGGGUGGCGCUCACCUCUACCCUAGGGUGUCUAUACACAGGACAACUACGGGCAGGAUGUAUAUCGCGAUAUACUAACCUACCGUUCUUCCCCCCGGCGCGGUUUUGCAGCUGAUGCCGCUGAUGACACGAAAACACUUAUCCAAAACAGUCUGAAAUGCACAACAAUCUGGGUGCCGGAGAGCAGCCCACAAUCGGCGGCCCUGAGCGUCAGCAAUACUGAGAGGGGUUUCAGAGAAUGAGCCCGCCGUCCCUCUUAAGCAGCGGCUCCGUCUCCUGAUUGGCCCUCGUCCUCCGCCCCACUGACGACCGAUCCGCCAGUCACAGCGACCUAGAGGAGGGGCAAUUCACAGGAAACCAAUCAAAGUGUAAUCAAACAAUAAACAACACUCCUGCAGUGCACGGGGAACGUAACACCUCCCCCCUUAAGAACCAACUAUAUGUAAAAAAAACUACUCAGCAUAUAGUUGUUCAAACGAUCGUACUCACACGCCGCCAGAGGCAACUCUAGACAAGGCAUCGGCGAUCACGUUUUCUACGCCUCUUUUAUGUUUGAUUAUCAAAUUGUAUCCCUGUACAAUCAGCGCCCAGCGCAUCAAACGCUGAUUCUGAUUAUACAUACGAGAUAAGAAAACUAACGGAUUGUGAUCAGUAAACACGGUAACGGGACUAAUACUCGAUCCCACAUACACGUCAAAAUGCUGAAGGGCCAUCAGCAAGGCUAAUGCCUCCUUCUCGAUCGUCGAGUAGUUUAACUGGUGCUUAUUAAACUUGCGCGAGAAAUAGCAGACGGGAUGGUCAAUACCAUCUUUACCGCCCUGAAUUAGCACAGCUCCCGCACCCACGUAACUCGCGUCCACAUCGAGUUUAAAAGCAGAAUCAAAAUCUGGAGCGGCCAAAACAGGUGCGUUACACAGAAGAUCUUUGAUCGCGUUAAACGCAUGCUCACAUUCCGUGGACCACAAAAACGUCCGCGACGGACUGAGGAGCGACGUCAACGGCUGGGCAAUCGUCGAAAAGUUUUUACAGAAGCUGCGGUAAUAGCCAGCCAUCCCUAGAAAACGACGAAGUUCUCGACGGGUGGCGGGAGCAGGAAAUUCAGAUAUCGCAGUGACUUUUGCUUCGAUCGGCCGCACUUGCCCGUGACCCACCUCCUUUCCAAGGUACGUGAUUGUAGCCUGACCGAAUUCACAUUUGGCCAAGUUUAAGGUCAACGAACCUUCUUGUAAUCGCUCGAAAACCGUUCUUAGUAAAGCAAUGUGUUCGGGCCAGUCGGACGAGUACACUACUAGAUCAUCCAGAUACGCGUUACACUUAGGCACCCCCGACAACACACGAUUAACGAGUCGCUGGAAAGUAGCCGGUGCGUUACGCAUGCCGAACGCCAUCACAGAAUAUUGCAGGAAACUAUCCGGUGUCACGAAAGCGGAGAUGUCAGAAGCGCGAGACGUAAGCGGCACCUGCCAGUACCCUUUUAGUAGAUCCAAUUUACUGACAUAACGGGCCGAGCCGAUGUUGUCAAUGCAGUCCUCCAUCCGCGGCAAUGGAAAACAAUCCGGUACCGUGAGCGCAUUAACCUUACGAUAGUCCGUACAAAACCGAUCAGUGCCGUCACUCUUCGGUAUCAGGAGGCAUGGAGAGCUCCAGGGGCUGCAGCUGGCUUGAGCCAAUCCAUGCUCCACCAAAUACUCAACCUCUCCCCGCAUACGCUCUCUCUUCACUGAGUUCAUGCGGUACGCAUGUUGCUUGACCGGAACAGCAUCCCCCACGUUAAUAUCAUGCUCUAAUACUGUGGUGCGAGAAGGUACAUCAUUCAGUAAAGCAGGAAAGUCAUUAAUUAGUUGCACAACAUCAUUUCCUUGCUUUUCAGAUAAGUGAGAUAUACACGAUGACAGAUCAGACAGUACCUCAGAGUUCUUGAGGCGAGCACAUUGCUGGUAAGUGUGGCGAACAAUUACUCCAUCAUCAUCCGGGUUAGAGAUUUCCACCGCAGCGCAUGCCACGGAGGCAGGAGCCGGGGAGGACAGGUGAACAGCGGUUUCCUCUGUCGGCGAAACAUCGGACUGGAUACCCUCUCUGCAAUAAAAAGUCUUCAACAUAUUCACAUGA